rnacentral:rRNA from 1 species
UACGUAGGUGGCAAGCGUUGUCCGGAAUUAUUGGGCGUAAAGCGCGCGCAGGCGGCCUCUUAAGUCUGAUGUGAAAGCCCCCGGCUCAACCGGGGAGGGCCAUUGGAAACUGGGAGGCUUGAGUAUAGGAGAGAAGAGUGGAAUUCCACGUGUAGCGGUGAAAUGCGUAGAGAUGUGGAGGAACACCAGUGGCGAAGGCGACUCUUUGGCCUAUAACUGACGCUGAGGCGCGAAAGCGUGGGGAACAAACAGG